UAUUUAACCUAUAAGCCACAGUGACUCUAGUAACCUGCAUAUAGCUAGAAGGCUGAUGAGACACAUCUCCGGUGCCAGACCCUUGAGACUGUCUGUGUUGGCACGUUUUGUAUCACCGCUGCUGCUGCAGGGCUGCCCACAUUAGAAAACCCUGCGGGCUUGCCCGGUGGCCGGAGCCUUCCCACUGCUUUCCUCGUCAGGCUGAGUUCUGUAUCCUAAAUUUCAUGAGAGGUGAUGCCAUGAAGGAGACUGUGUGUUUGUUUGGAAAUUAUCUUCCUGUAAAAUGUAUUGCUCUAAUGCCUAAGAGGCUGAGGGUGCCGUUUUGUUCUGCUACUCACACCGUACAGUGUAGGUGAGAGGUAAGGAAGAUGCAGUCGUGACUUAGUUGGAUUGAAUAUUAUAGUAAUUGUUUAGUGUGUCCUCCUGCAGGGUCUCUGAGAUGAAAGAAUCUGUCUAGCGAUGGCAAGCUCAGAAUAUAGGAAAAUUCUGCUCUGUUGGGCAGUGCCAGGGUGGAUUUCUUUUCUUUUUUUUUUAGCUGAAAGUGCAGCUACUUCAGAGAAAAUACCUGCAGGGAGAAAGUGGUGUGAAGGCUUUCUGAGCAUGGAUUCUCUUGCCUGCUUCCUGGGUGGCUGCUUGGUGUCAUUGCUCCUGGAGGGAAGGGGACCCAGAACAAGACUUUGUUACCUGGAGCUGGGCUUGGUGCCCCCAGGAUGUGCCUUUGAACACUAUAAAUGAUCUAGGUCAAAAAAGAGACGUUACACGGUGGGCUUUUUGUGUGUUUGGGAAGGGAGGGUUGUUUUUCUGCGUAUUUACCAGAGCCUCUGGUUUCUGCAGCAGUGACUGGCACAAGAACAGAGCGAAGCCGAUUCUCUCGGGGAUGGCACCGUGAAAUCCAGCGCAAGGGUGAACGCCAAGAACAUCGCAGAGGAUGUUACCACACUACAUGAUGAAGCAUCCUUUUGUUUUUCAGCGUGAUGAGUCAAGAACUACAAGCCACAGCUGAGAAAAAACUGAAGAGAAAGGUCUCUGGAUUUUGCUUUCAGGCUUGUUUGCUUAGGUUUAAUUUAAAAAAUAGAGAACACUUGAAUUUCCUAUAGCCCAAAAUCAUUAGAAGAGUUGAAUGCUCCCUUGAAGAGUGGAGUUGAGUCUUCUCCAGUGUGGGGAUCCAGCAGAGCAGCAGUGCUGCCAAUUGGGUAUUGUUGACCCUUGGUUUCAGUGAUGCCUUUUGUCUUCUGCUCUCAGCUCCUGUUCUUACAGAGGACUUAGGCCUUGGAUUACUGAGAUACAUUCAAGUGUUCUCUACUUCUGUAGCUGUGGUAGCAGAUGUGGAAGGGGGUUGAGUCCACCCAGCCCUGCAGUACUUCAUAGGAUGCUUGAAAUAGCUUCAUGAAGAGAGAGAGAAGCUCCAGCAACCACGUUCUACCCUGGAGGACUUAGACUUGGGCUGACUUCAAAGAGCUGCAGCGUUCUGUGUGGAGAUGGCUGUGGCUGCUGCAGUGCCAGGACCCGGCAAAGCUCUAAGUCUGUUAGUUGUGAUGAGCUUUCAGCAGCAAGUCCUCUUCGUUAUGUACCUAUAUAUAUAUAGAUGUAUAUAGCUGCUGCUGGGCUGUAUGUGCUGCUUGGGUUUUGCUAUGGGAGCUGCAUAGCCCAGCAGGGCUGACUUGCUCUCUGUUCUGUGCCAAUAAAGAUGAAGCUGGAACGUG